GGAGCUGGCUCCUCUUGGUUCUCUGUUGGAUCGUCUGAGGAAGCGACAGGACACAUCCUCAUCUCCUCUCUUUGUGGCUACGCUGUACAGGUGGCGUGUGGCAUGGCAUAUCUAGAACAGAGGCGAUUCCUCCACAGAGACCUGGCGGCGAGGAACGUCCUGCUGUCAACCAAUGAGAUGGUGAAGAUUGGUGACUUUGGCCUGAUGAGAGCACUGCCAUCACACCAGGAUACAUACGUUAUGGAGGAGGGCCACAAGGUGCCCUUUGCAUGGUGUGCUCCAGAGUCAUUGAGGAGCAGGAGUUUCUCUCAUGCUUCAGACACUUGGAUGUUUGGAGUCACUUUGUGGGAGAUGUUUACACACGGACAGGAGCCAUG